UACGUAGGGUGCAAGCGUUAAUCGGAAUUAUUGGGCGUAAAGAGCUCGUAGGCGGUCUGUCGCGUCGGUCGUGAAAACUUGGGGCUUAACCCUGAGCUUGCGGUCGAUACGGGCAUGACUGGAGUUCGGCAGGGGAGACUGGAAUUCCUGGUGUAGCGGUGAAAUGCGCAGAUAUCAGGAGGAACACCGGUGGCGAAGGCGGGUCUCUGGGCCGAUACUGACGCUGAGGAGCGAAAGCGUGGGGAGCGAACAGG
rnacentral:rRNA from 1 species